rnacentral:rRNA from 1 species
GACGAACGCUGGCGGCGUGCCUAAUACAUGCAAGUAGGACGCAGUUGCGAACGGGUGAGUAACGCGUAGGUAACUACCUAUUAGAGGGGGAUAACUAUUGGAAACGAUAGCUAAUACCGCAUACUAGUAGAUGGACCUGCGUUGUAUUAGGUAGUAGGUAGGGUAAUGGCAUACCUAGGCAACGAUACAUAGCCGACCUGAGAGGGUGAGCGGCCACACUGGGACGGAGACACGGCCCAGACUCCUACGGGAGGCAGCAGUAGGGAAUCCUCGGCAAGGGGGGGAACCCUGACCGGGCAACGCCGCGUGCGGGAAGAAGGUGUUCGGAUCGUAAAGAUCAGGUGUUAAGGAAGCGGUACUUAACCAGAAAGGGACGGCUAACUACGUGCCAGCCGCCGCGGUAAUAC